AUGAACGCUAGCGGCAGGCUUAACACAUGCAAGUCGAGGGGUAUAAGUCUUCGGAUUUAGAGACCGGCGCACGGGUGCGUAACGCGUAUGCAAUCUACCUUUUACAGAGGGAUAGCCCAGAGAAAUUUGGAUUAAUACCUCAUAGUAUAGCAGUUUCGCAUGAAACCACUAUUAAAGUCACAACGGUAAAAGAUGAGCAUGCGUCCCAUUAGCUAGUUGGUAAGGUAACGGCUUACCAAGGCUACGAUGGGUAGGGG
rnacentral:rRNA from 1 species